AGUGAACGCUGGCGGCAGGCCUAACACAUGCAAGUCGAACGGCAGCACAGUAAUAGCUUGCUCUUACGGGUGGCGAGUGGCGGACGGGUGAGGAAAAUAUCGGAAUCUACUUUUUCGUGGGGGAUAACGUAGGGAAACUUACGCCAAUACCGCAUACGACCUACGGGUGAAAGCAUGGGAUCUUCGGACCUUGCGCGAUUGAAUGCGCCGAUGUCGGAUUAGCUAGUUGGCGGGGUAAAGGCCCACCAAGGCGACGAUCCGUAGCUGGUCUGAGAGGAUGAUCAGCCACACUGGAACUGGGACACGGUCCAGGCUCCUACGGGAGGCAGCAGUGGGGAAUAUUGGACAAUGGGCGCAAGCCUGAUCCAGCCAUACCGCGUGGGUGGAGAAGGCCUUCGGGUUGUAAAGCCCUUUUGUUGGGAAAGAAAAGCAGCAGGUUAAUACCCCGCUGUUCUGACGGUACCCAAAGAAUAAGCACCGGCUAACUUCGUG
rnacentral:rRNA from 1 species